AGAGCCGGGUUCCUCCCGGGUUUCUGCCGGGUUUCUCCCUGCGGUUCCUGGGCUGUUGAGACUCUUGUGAAGAUGGCUUGCGCUGCCGCGCGGUCCCCUGCCGACCAGGACAGGUUUAUUUGUAUCUAUCCUGCUUAUUUAAAUAAUAAGAAGACCAUCGCAGAGGGAAGGCGAAUCCCCAUAAGUAAGGCUGUUGAAAAUCCUACAGCUACAGAGAUUCAAGAUGUAUGUUCAGCAGUUGGACUUAACGUAUUUCUUGAGAAAAAUAAAAUGUACUCUAGAGAAUGGAAUCGUGAUGUCCAAUACAGAGGCAGAGUCCGGGUCCAGCUCAAACAGGAAGAUGGGAGCCUCUGCCUUGUACAGUUCCCAUCACGUUAAGAAUGUCUGAGGGGCCAGGCGGUGCUGGCAAGAUGGCUGCACUUGAGAAGAUGACGUUUCCCAAGAAGAUGACAUUUCCAGAGAAACCAAGCCACAAAAAGUACAGGGCCGCCCUGAAGAAGGAGAAACGAAAGAAACGUCGGCAGGAACUUGCUCGACUGAGAGACUCAGGACUCUCACAGGAGGAGGAAGAGGACACUUUUAUUGAAGAACAACAACUAGAAGAAGAGAAGCUAUUGGAAAGAGAGAGGGAAAGAUUACAUGAGGAGUGGUUGCUGAGAGAGCAGAAGGCACAAGAAGAAUUCAGAAUAAAGAAGGAAAAGGAAGAGGUGGCUAAAAAAUGGCAAGAAGAACAAGAGAGAAAGUUAAAGGAACAAUGGAAAGAACAGCAGAGGAAAGAGAGAGAAGAGGAGGAGCAGAAACAACAGGAGAAGAAAGAAAAAGAGGAAGCUGUGCAGAAGAUGCUGGAUCAGGCUGAAAAUGAUUUAGAAAAUGGUACCACAUGGCAAAACCCAGAACCACCCGUGGAUUUCAGAGUAAUGGAGAAGGAUCGAGCUAAUUGUCCCUUCUACAGUAAAACAGGAGCUUGCAGAUUUGGAGACAGAUGUUCACGUAAACAUAAUUUCCCAACAUCCAGUCCUACCCUUCUUAUUAAGAGCAUGUUUACAACGUUUGGAAUGGAGCAGUGCAGGAGGGAUGACUAUGACCCUGACGCAAGCCUGGAGUUCAGCGAGGAAGAAACCUACCAACAGUUCCUAGAUUUCUAUGAGGAUGUGUUGCCCGAGUUCAAGAACGUGGGGAAAGUGAUUCAGUUCAAGGUCAGCUGCAAUUUGGAACCUCACCUGAGGGGCAAUGUAUAUGUUCAGUACCAGUCGGAAGAAGAAUGCCAAGCAGCCCUUUCUCUGUUUAACGGACGAUGGUAUGCAGGACGACAGCUGCAAUGUGAAUUCUGCCCAGUGACGCGGUGGAAAAUGGCGAUUUGUGGUUUAUUUGAAAUACAACAAUGUCCAAGAGGAAAACACUGCAACUUUCUUCAUGUGUUCAGAAAUCCCAACAAUGAAUUCUGGGAAGCUAAUAGAGACAUCUACUUGUCUCCAGAUCAGACUGGCUCCUCCUUUGGCAAGAACUCCGAGAGGAGGGAGAAGAUGGGCCACCACGACCACUACUACAGCAGGCAGCGGGGAAGGAGAAACCCUAGUCCAGACCACACCUACAAAAGAAAUGGGGAAUCCGAGAGAAAAAAGAGUAGUCAUAGGGGGAAGAAAUCUCACAAACGCACAUCAAAGAGUCGGGAGAGGCACAAUUCACCAAGCAGAGGAAGAAAUAGGCACCGCAGCUGGGACCAGGGCCGCCGGAGCCAGAGCCGCAGGAGCCACCGCAGCCGGAGCCAAAGUUCCUCUAGGUGCCGAAGUCGUGGCAGGAGGAGGUCGGGUAAUAGAGACAGAACUGUUCAGAGUCCCAAAUCCAAAUAA
rnacentral:sRNA from 1 species